rnacentral:rRNA from 1 species
AUGCGCACUAGAAAAUGGCCUGGUAACCCUUGUUGUUCCUUCUGCAAUGAGGUUGAGAGUUCACAGCAUCUUUUUUUCACCUGCCCUGUGGCUAGAUGCCUGUGGAGAUCCGUUGGGAUCGUGUUAGGUACUGAUCGAUGUGCCAAUAGUUACUGGCAGUUUUAUGCAUGGUGCCAUACUUUUCUCCCUGGGAAUAGGUUUUAUACGGUGGGCCUGGCAGCUGCCUGUUGGGCUAUCUGGCUGGCUCGUAAUCGAGCCACUUUUGAGAAGAAGAUGAUUAAAACUCCUUUUGAAAUUGUUUUUUCCAUGUGCUCUUUCUUGCUUUACUGGACAGGUCUGCAGCAAGGGGAGGACGCUAAGAAGCUACGCGCAGGCGCAGAGCACAUCAGGGCGGGUACCAUGCAAAUGAUGAAGCUAUGUGAUGGUGCCAGGCAACCGAUCACCGGAGAAUGA